rnacentral:rRNA from 1 species
CCCCUAGAUGUUCUGGGCCGCACGCGCGCUACACUGAACAGUUCAACAAGUCUUAACCUUGGCCGAUAGGUCUGGGUAAUCUUUGAACGCUGUUCGUGAUUGGGAUAGACCUUUGCAAUUAUGGGUCUUCAACGAGGAAUUCCUAGUAAACGCAAGUCAUCAGCUUGCAUUGAUUACGUCCCUGCCCUUUGUACACACCGCCCGUCGCACCUACCGAUUGAAUGGUCCGGUGAAAUCUCGGGACGGCGGCUUGGUCGCUUGCGUCCGACUGCUGAAACUUGAUUAAACAUAUCAUUUAGAGGAAGGUGAAGUCGUAACA